UAUAUUAAUUGAUAUCUUAUUUCACUUGAACCAUUUUGAAAUUUUAAUUAGCUCUAUGUUCAUGUCAUUUAAUAAUGUUAUGAUUUAUUGCUAGACAGAAAAAGGUUUGUGUCAUCAGCAAACAUUACUGUUUUUAAAUUUGAGGCAUUCUAAACUUUAAAAAUUUGUUUUUAUCAUCACUCAAAUGUUUCUUGAUGAGUGACAAGACUUUUGGCUAUCUAUGCAUAAUUAAUCGAAGUCGUAGCCAGCUCGUAUGAAAGGAGUUCUUGACGCAAAAUAGUUAAAUUUAUUCAACAACGCCAAGAAACAGAGCUUGCUCAA